GCGCAACCCUUGUCCUUAGUUACCAGCACGUUAUGUGGGCGACUCUAAGGAGACUGCCGGUGACAACCGGAGGAAGGUGGGGAUGACGUCAAGUCAUCAUGGCCCUUACGGCCUGGGCUACACACGUGCUACAAUGGUCGGUACAAAGGGUUGCCAAGCCGCGAGGUGGAGCUAAUCCCAUAAAACCGAUCGUAGUCCGGAUCGCAGUCUGCAACUCGACUGCGUGAAGUCGGAAUCGCUAGUAAUCGUGAAUCAGAAUGUCACGGUGAAUACGUUCCCGGGCCUU
rnacentral:rRNA from 1 species